UAUUAAGCAAUUUUUUUUAUAAAAAAAAAAAAAAAAAAAAGGAAGAGAAAGCCGCAUCGUCAUUCAUCAUCUCAUGCGACCGUGAGAGAAUCAAGUCAGCCCAACGGUCUGUUCUCUUGGAGCCACACACAGACACAGACACAGCCCUCUCCUCUCCCUCAGCUCAAUACGCAAUGGAGGCGAUGAAGGUAUUUUUGGUUGCCGUUAUGCUGAUGAUGGUAAUGGCUUCGUCGGCCGUCCAGAUUGUGGCAGCUUCCGAGGGUCCAUCUCCGGCUCCUUCUCCAGCUUCCGAUGCUUCCCUAUUUCCUCCCACUCUUUUCGCUUCCGUCGCUGCCCUUGCAAUGGCACUCCUCUUCUAAUUUCCCAAUCUUUCAUUAUUUUUUUAUUUUUUUCCUCUCUGAUAUAUUAUACAAUGGGAGGAUGGAUAUACUUGUGUAGAGCUUCUCUUUUGCUAAAUUAACUCGAAUCUUCUUCCCUCCAUGCCUCCCUCCUCCUUCUGGGAAUUGAGGUGGUGAUCAUGGGAUGGGAAGGGAGCAUUUGAGAUUCUUUGCAUAUUUUUCCUUUUUUUUUAUAUAUAUAAAAAAAUAAAAUCAUCUUUUUCUGCAGGGGCUAUUCUUUGAUGUUUAGUUUGGGGGAUAUAUCAUGUUCAUGUGUCCUUGGACAGAUUUUUGUUAUUGCCUCUAUUUGUACUUGGUAUUAUUAUUGAUGUAUUCUACAUAUAAAAAAAAAUUGGUCGUCGUUUAUUCAAUUCAGCACAGCAGCUUCAAUUUCAAA